UGCUCCGGGCGUCGGCCUGU
rnacentral:snRNA from 1 species